UGAAGCCAAGUGCUCAUAACAGAUGUGGGGUUCCCCCCCACGCUCAGUUUCCACCCCAAAAUGAAUGGGUAAUUUCUUCCCCAAACAUUUUUUGGGCAAACUUCUGAUGUUCCAAAUGAAGCCAUCAAUGAACUCUCUUCUGUCUUCUCCCGGAGAAAGUACUACCUCAUCUGGUUAUCAUCAUUACUGGCAGGUUGAACACACACACACACACACACACACACACACACACACACACAGCAAUUCUGUAGAAAAGAAAAAUAUUUUUAAAGUUUUGCAUGCAAGUCUAUACAAAUUUAAGGGCACCCAAUAUUUUUUCCAGAUAUUUUGCUUUUGAAUGUUUGGUGUCAUGAAUGCUAGUAGCCACUAAGUGGAGCUGUUGGGCCACAGUUUCGACCGAUCUUGAAAGAACAUAUUUUGAAAUUGGAAAGCAGACCAUAUGCUUACUGGGGGUUGGGGUGGGAGUGGUUGAUGGGCACUCAUAACGCUAGAAAAAUGGUCUUCUUUGAUACAGGGUGCACUGAAAAAUAAUCCAUAUGCAUUUUUCAUGCAUGACAACUGUUCUUUCUUUGGUAGCUUUGGUAAUUUAAGACUGGUUCAAUGAGCGGAAGCUCUAUUUUGGCUUUAUUAGUUAUCUGCUAAAACUCCAUUUCACGGAAGAAUAACAAUGAUAAUGUUGGGCUUUAGUUCCAGGGGUUUAGAAAAUCUCUCUCAAAAGAUGUUAGAGAACCGAGUGGAGGGUCUCUCAGGUGACUUGUUCUGUUCCAGGGAAAGUAACAACACAACUAAAAUGAUAAUGAUGUCUUAUUAGUGCUUUGGAAGUUUCCACUUCCAACACAGAGCUGGCCCAAGACACACUGUUGCUGAAGGUGGCAGGAAAGCGAAAGGGCUUCCCCCAUGCCUGUGGUUAAAAUCUGACAACUGUCCAUUUGCUUCUUUCUGUUGCCUUAGGUGGUGGACUUCACCGCUCCUAAUAGCAAGGGUGGCCCUGCUUCAAAUUUGUUCAUAAAGAAGAUGAGAGAGAAAAGUGGACCACAAAUUGCCACGACUCCUGUGAGUGAAUCAAUGUGGG